rnacentral:rRNA from 1 species
UCUGUAAGCCUGUGAAGGUGAGUUGAGAAGCUUGCUGGAGGUAUCAGAAGUGCGAAUGCUGACAUGAGUAACGACAAUGCGAGUGAAAAACUCGCACGCCGAAAGACCAAGGUUUCCUGCGCAACGUUAAUCGACGCAGGGUUAGUCGGUCCCUAAGGCGAGGCUGAAAAGCGUAGUCGAUGGAAAACAGGUUAAUAUUCCUGUACUUCCAGUUAUUGCGAUGGAGGGACGGAGAAGGUUAGGCCAGCCUGGCGUUGGUUGUCCAGGUUUAAGGUGGUAGGCUGAAAUCUUAGGCAAAUCCGGGAUUUCAAGGCCGAGAGCUGAUGACGAGUUGCCUUUAGGCGACGAAGUGGUUGAUACCAUGCUUCCAAGAAAAGCUCCUAAGCUUCAGAUAACUGGGAACCGUACCCCAAACCGACACAGGUGGUUAGGUAGAGAAUACCAAGGCGCUUGAGAGAACUCGGGUGAAGGAACUAGGCAAAAUGGCACCGUAACUUCGGGAGAAGGUGCGCCGGCGAGGG